CCACCUAAAAAGUGUAAAGUACCGUCAUUCAUAGCGAAAUAAGAACUCUGCCUUAUGAGUUUAAGCAGAGCUAUUGGCAGCUGCAUAAAUGGUUCUUUUCCACAGGUAGUGUUUCCUGUGCUGUUCGAUUUCCUCUAAUAUGUAAGAAUGUAUCUAGAAAUAUGGCAGCUUAGUACAUGGUACCAAAGAAAAUCAAGUGAUCUCAGAUUUUUGGUAUCGAAUGUUAGCGUUGGGUAUCAUUUCUGGUGACAUCCCUGCACAGCAGCUAACAGCUUUCAGAUGUGAUGAGUUUGAAUCAGGUCGCUGAUCCAGUUGAGGAUAACUUGUAACACUCUGAUCUGGAUUUUUAAUGUUGGAGAAAAGAAGUGAGCAUGGUUCUGUAAAUUUACCUGAAUCUUAAUUUGUUUUUACAGAACGAGCGGGCUCGCAACUCAUCACCAUUCAGAAGAUGAUUAAACACUCAUGGUUGUUCUGUGUGAGGAAUGGAGACCCAGUGUGGACCAAACCAGAGUGACUGAGAAGGAGAAAAGAACAAGUUCUUUACCUGGUGAAGCCAAAGGCACUGAAGCACAAUCAAGCACAAGUCUGUCACUUCAUAAUAAAUCUAAAUGAUGCAGUCUGGUGCCGUUUCCUCAAAAGCUGGAACGUGAUGUUGACAGAUUUUCACCUGCAGGAAUCGGUGUUCAGACCCUGCUCAUGCUAUUACAUCUGGAUUGUGAACUGAUCCUGUUGACUUCAAUUUGUAACAAUAAAAUAUUUGUUAUUGA